rnacentral:rRNA from 1 species
AGUGAACGCUGGCGGUAGGCCUAACAAAUGAAAUUGGACCGGCAGCCAAUUAGAGGCUUGCCUUAACGGGGGGCGAGUGGCGGAGGGGUGGGGAAAAAAUCGAAAUCUCCUUUUUCUUGGGGGAUAACGUAGGGAAACUAACGCUAUUACGGCAACCGACUUACGGGUGAAAGAAGGGAAUCUCCGGCCUUUGGCCGUUUGAUUGAGCGAUGUCGGAUUAGCUAGUUGGCGGGGUAAAGGCCCACCAAGGCGACGAUCCGUAGCUGGUCUGAGAGGAUGAUCAGCCACACUGGAACUGAGACACGGUCCAGACUCCUACGGGAGGCAGCAGUGGGGAAUAUUGGACAAUGGGCGCAAGCCUGAUCCAGCCAUACCGCGUGGGUGAAGAAGGCCUUCGGGUUGUAAAGCCCUUUUGUUGGGAAAGAAAAGCAGCAGGUUAAUACCCCGCUGUUCUGACGGUACCCAAAGAAUAAGCACCGGCUAACUUCGUG